UACAGAGGGUGUAAGCGUUGUUCGGAAUUAUUGGGCGUAAAGAGCUCGUAGGCGGUGUGUCGCGUCGGCCGUGAAAACCUGCAGCUUAACUGUGGGCUUGCGGUCGAUACGGGCAUCACUGGAGUUCGGCAGGGGAGACUGGAAUUCCUGGUGUAGCGGUGAAAUGCGCAGAUAUCAGGAGGAACACCGGUGGCGAAGGCGGGUCUCUGGGCCGAUACUGACGCUGAGGAGCGAAAGCGUGGGGAGCAAACAGG
rnacentral:rRNA from 1 species